rnacentral:rRNA from 1 species
UAGGGAAUCUUCGGCAAUGGGGGGAACCCUGACCGAGCAACGCCGCGUGAGUGAAGAAGGUUUUCGGAUCGUAAAGCUCUGUUGUUAAGGAAGAACGAGUGUGAGAAUGGAAAGUUCAUACUGUGACGGUACUUAACCAGAAAGGGACGGCUAACUACGUGCCAGCAGCCGCGGUAAUACGUAGGUCCCGAGCGUUGUCCGGAUUUAUUGGGCGUAAAGCGAGCGCAGGCGGUUAGAUAAGUCUGAAGUUAAAGGCAGUGGCUCAACCAUUGUAGGCUUUGGAAACUGUUUAACUUGAGUGCAGCAGGGGAGAGUGGAAUUCCAUGUGUAGCGGUGAAAUGCGUAGAUAUAUGGAGGAACACCGGUGGCGAAAGCGGCUCUCUGGUCUGUAACUGACGCUGAGGCUCGAAAGCGUGGGGAGCGAACAGG